rnacentral:rRNA from 1 species
AUUGAACGCUGGCGGCAGGCCUAACACAUGCAAGUCGAACGGUAACAGGAAACAGCUUGCUGUUUCGCUGACGAGUGGCGGACGGGUGAGUAAUGUCUGGGAAACUGCCUGAUGGAGGGGGAUAACUACUGGAAACGGUAGCUAAUACCGCAUAACGUCGCAAGACCAAAGAGGGGGACCUUCGGGCCUCUUGCCAUCAGAUGUGCCCAGAUGGGAUUAGCUAGUAGGUGGGGUAACGGCUCACCUAGGCGACGAUCCCUAGCUGGUCUGAGAGGAUGACCAGCCACACUGGAACUGAGACACGGUCCAGACUCCUACGGGAGGCAGCAGUGGGGAAUAUUGCACAAUGGGCGCAAGCCUGAUGCAGCCAUGCCGCGUGUAUGAAGAAGGCCCUCGGGUUGUAAAGUACUUUCAGCGGGGAGGAAGGGAGUAAAGUUAAUACCUUUGCUAAUUGACGUUACCCGCAGAAGAAGCACCGGCUAACUCCGUG